rnacentral:lncRNA from 1 species
AUGGGUGCCACUGUGACCUGGAGAAAUUACAUAAAUCUUUAUAGUUCUAGGUCUAUGGGAGACAACUCCUGAUCAAUUUUAUUUCCUAUAUAUAUAUAUAUCUAUAAAUAUUUUUUCUUCUAUUUUUUUUUUCUUUUUCAAACAACAAUAUUUUCUAUAAUUUUCUUUCGUUCUUCAAAAAGGGAGUGCAAUAAAUUAGAUAAGUUUGAAGUAACAAACAAAUCUUCAG